GACGAACGCUGGCGGCGUGCUUAACACAUGCAAGUCGAACGGAAAGGCCCUGCUUUUGUGGGGUGCUCGAGUGGCGAACGGGUGAGUAACACGUGAGUAACCUGCCCUUGACUUUGGGAUAACUUCAGGAAACUGGGGCUAAUACCGGAUAGGAGCUCCUGCUGCAUGGUGGGGGUUGGAAAGUUUCGGCGGUUGGGGAUGGACUCGCGGCUUAUCAGCUUGUUGGUGGGGUAGUGGCUUACCAAGGCUUUGACGGGUAGCCGGCCUGAGAGGGUGACCGGCCACAUUGGGACUGAGAUACGGCCCAGACUCCUACGGGAGGCAGCAGUGGGGAAUAUUGCACAAUGGGCGGAAGCCUGAUGCAGCAACGCCGCGUGCGGGAUGACGGCCUUCGGGUUGUAAACCGCUUUCGCCUGUGACGAAGCGUGAGUGACGGUAAUGGGUAAAGAAGCACCGGCUAACUACGUGCCAGCAGCCGCGGUGAUACGUAGGGUGCGAGCGUUGUCCGGAUUUAUUGGGCGUAAAGGGCUCGUAGGUGGUUGAUCGCGUCGGAAGUGUAAUCUUGGGGCUUAACCCUGAGCGUGCUUUCGAUACGGGUUGACUUGAGGAAGGUAGGGGAGAAUGGAAUUCCUGGUGGAGCGGUGGAAUGCGCAGAUAUCAGGAGGAACACCAGUGGCGAAGGCGGUUCUCUGGGCCUUUCCUGACGCUGAGGAGCGAAAGCGUGGGGAGCGAACAGGCUUAGAUACCCUGGUAGUCCACGCUGUAAACGGUGGGUACUAGGUGUGGGGUCCAUUCCACGGGUUCCGUGCCGUAGCUAACGCUUUAAGUACCCCGCCUGGGGAGUACGGCCGCAAGGCUAAAACUCAAAGGAAUUGACGGGGCCCCGCACAAGCGGCGGAGCAUGCGGAUUAAUUCGAUGCAACGCGUAGAACCUUACCUGGGUUUGACAUGGAUCGGGAGUGCUCAGAGAUGGGUGUGCCUCUUUUGGGGUCGGUUCACAGGUGGUGCAUGGCUGUCGUCAGCUCGUGUCGUGAGAUGUUGGGUUAAGUCCCGCAACGAGCGCAACCCUUGUUCACUGUUGCCAGCACGUUAUGGUGGGGACUCAGUGGAGACCGCCGGGGUCAACUCGGAGGAAGGUGGGGAUGACGUCAAGUCAUCAUGCCCCUUAUGUCCAGGGCUUCACGCAUGCUACAAUGGCUGGUACAGAGAGUGGCGAGCCUGUGAGGGUGAGCGAAUCUCGGAAAGCCGGUCUCAGUUCGGAUUGGGGUCUGCAACUCGACCUCAUGAAGUCGGAGUCGCUAGUAAUCGCAGAUCAGCAGCGCUGCGGUGAAUAAAUUCCCGGGGCU
rnacentral:rRNA from 1 species